CCUACGUGAGGCAGCAGUGAGGAAUAUUGGUCAAUGGGCUUGCGCCUGAACCAGCCAAGUCGCGUGAGGGAUGACUGCCCUAUGGGUUGUAAACUUCUUUUAUAUGGGAAUAAAAUGUUCCACGUGUGGGAUUUUGUAUGUACCAUAUGAAUAAGGAUCGGCUAACUCCGUGCCAGCAGCCGCGGUAAUACGGAGGAUCCGAGCGUUAUCCGGAUUUAUUGGGUUUAAAGGGAGCGUAGGUGGAUUGUUAAGUCAGUUGUGAAAGUUUGCGGCUCAACCGUAAAAUUGCAGUUGAAACUGGCAGUCUUGAGUACAGUAGAGGUGGGCGGAAUUCGUGGUGUAGCGGUGAAAUGCUUAGAUAUCACGAAGAACUCCGAUUGCGAAGGCAGCUCACUGGACUGCAACUGACACUGAGGCUCGAAAGUGUGGGUAUCAAACAGGAUUAGAUACCCUGGUAGUC
rnacentral:rRNA from 1 species